ensembl:snoRNA SNORA62 Small nucleolar RNA SNORA62/SNORA6 family
AUUCCACAAACAACUCACAAGUGCAGGUAGUGUGGUACAGGAGCAUGUCUUUAGCUAACACCACAAGGGUCUCUGGACCAAUGUGUGGAGUUUGAUGGUAAUUCUUGCUACAAGA